UACGUAGGGUCCGAGCGUUGUCCGGAAUUAUUGGGCGUAAAGAGCUCGUAGGCGGUCUGUCGCGUCUGCUGUGAAAUCCCGGGGCUCAACUCCGGGCUUGCAGUGGAUACGGGCAGACUAGAGUUCGGUAGGGGAGACUGGAAUUCCUGGUGUAGCGGUGAAAUGCGCAGAUAUCAGGAGGAACACCGGUGGCGAAGGCGGGUCUCUGGGCCGAUACUGACGCUGAGGAGCGAAAGCGUGGGGAGCGAACAGG
rnacentral:rRNA from 1 species